GGCCCGGUAGCAAAGUGGCCAUGCAGCGGCCUGCAAAGCCGUCCACGGCGGUUCGAUUCCGCCCCGGGCCUCCA
rnacentral:tRNA from 1 species